rnacentral:rRNA from 1 species
CCCUUAGAUGUUCUGGGCCGCACGCGCGCUACACUGAUGCAUUCAACGAGUCUAAAACCUGGUCUGAUAGGGCUGGGUAAUCUUUUGAAAGUGCAUCGUGAUUGGGAUGGAUGAUUGCAAUUCUUCAUCUUCAACGAGGAAUGCCUAGUAAACGCAAGUCAUCAGCUUGCAUUGAUUACGUCCCUGCCCUUUGUACACACCGCCCGUCGCUCCUACCGAUUGAAUGAUCCGAUGAAUACCAUGGAUUGAGAGUACGAAUGGGUUCGCUCAUUUCUGCUGCUCGAGAAGUGGAGUAAAUCUUAUCAUUUAGAGGAAGGAGAAGUCGUAACA